GAGCACCAAACGAUUCUCCUCAAAUUCUUUAAAGUUCCACAUACUUUUGUCUCUAUUUACUCCUCAAGUUACAUCACAUUCCUGACAAAAUAUCUGACCAACAAACUCCCAGCGUCUCUCCGGACUGUAUUUUCGUGCUAGUGUAUCUACUCAUCUUCACUGUCUCGCCCCUGCUCUGAAGCUAAAAUCAUGCCUCCCUCAGAUUUCUUGAGCUCCUUCCGUUGGCCUUAUGAGCCUUACUCAAGAGAUGCACCCAUAGAGGCUCAGUCUAUAAGUGAAGGGACAGUCUAUAAGUGAAGGGACAGUCUAUAAGUGAAGGGACAGUCUAUAAGUGAAGGGACAGUCUAUAAGUGAAGGGAU
rnacentral:sRNA from 1 species